rnacentral:lncRNA from 1 species
CUUUUCCCUCGUUGCCACGUCCCAACGGCCAACGACCCCCCUGCCUCACAUGAUCUUUCCCUUCCCCACUUACCCAUCACCAUAAAAACCAUACGCCCCACCAGCGCUGAUCUGCAACUUUUUGUUCCCAUCCCCAGCCGUCGUCGGAUGCCAUGGCCUAGCAUUGGGGAGCUCCCCUCCCACAUAGAAGAACAGAGUAAAAAAGGUCAAAAAUCAAAUUGCAAAAUCCUCGGGGAAAUUCUGGAAAAUACAAUUGUGUCUGCAACUUUUUCUUGCUGAUCAGGCAAAAAUUCUGGAGAUUGAGGGCAAUUCAAUUGCGAGAGCUGGGCAAAUUUCAGAUUGAGGGCAAUUCAAUUGCGAGAGCUGGGCAAAUUUCUCUGAGUGAAGAGCAAAAGGUAAAUGAGUUGUUCCAAUGUCUAUGAACUUCUUUUAGUUCUAGAACUAGCGGUUUUCCCUCUCUGUACCUAUCUCCCCUGAUGUACUACUUGCGAAUAUAGCCCUUGUACCUAAGUGUUCAGAACCUGGCUUGAUUAUUGUCCCCUGUUCGUGCCUUCGCCUUUACACAUGUAGAACUGGGGUGCUAGAUAAUAAAGCUGCUGACUCUUGGCUCUUGAAUUGCAUCUUGUCUAUUUGUAUUGCACCUUGCUUCUGCAAGCAAAAAGAAACAAAAAAAAGAAGCUUUUUUGUUAGUAAUCGGUGUAUAGGAAAAAAUUGUCAAAAACCUAUUGAGUUGCUUACAAAAAAUCUAGUAGUAAAAUCUAGUUGCUUACUACUCCCCUAUAAACUAAUAUAAGAGCAUUUAGAUAACUAUUUUAGUGAUCUAAACACUCUUAUAUUAGUUUACGAAGGGAGUACAACACAAAGUAUCCAAGAAAAAAGCCUGAAAAACUAGUAGUAGAAAAAGAUUCAUGCAACUCUAAAAAAGGCUGCUCACUGAGUUUGGUGUGUUUCGGUGAAUUCUAAAAAAAAUUGCCCUUGUUUAUUCAAUUUUGCUUGCACGAUGGAAAGAGGGGGAAAUGCUAAAAGUGUUUUCAUUUACAUUCGCUUACAUAUUAAUUACUUCCCCCUAUUUCUGUCUUCUAACAUGUGCAGAUGGCUGGCAUUGAUCUCAAUGAGCUAUGUGGCAUAACACCCGCAUGUGGGUGAGUAGGGUCCAUGGGCUAUGCGACAUAGCACCCGGCGGGCGGGUUGGCUGAACGGGCUUAGGCAGUUUUGCAAAAAAUAAAGGUGUGUGGUGUUGUAGUCGAUAAGGGUCGAUGGGCUAGGCAACCUAGCAACAGGCGUGUGGGCGACUUGGUUGGUCGGCUUAGGCGGUUUUGCAAAAGAUAGAGGUGUGUCGUGUAUGCAUGCAAGUAGGGUCGAUGGGCUANAAUAGAGGGAUAUGGUGUAUGCAGUCGAUUAGGGUCGAUGGGCUAGGCAACCUAGCAACAGGCGUGUGGCCGACUUGGUUGGCCGGCUUAGGCGGUUUUGCAAAAGAUAGAGGUGUGUGGUGUAUGCAGGCAAGUAGGGUCGAUGGGCUAACCGACAUAGCACCGGGGGGUUGGCGAGUUGGUUGGCCGGGCUUAGGCGAUUUCUGCAAAAUAGAGGGAUAUGGUGUACGCAGUCGAUUAGGGUUGAUGGGCUAGGCAACAGGCGUGUGGGCGACUUGGUUGGUCGGUUUAGGCGGUUUUGCAAAAGAUAGAGGUGUGUGGUGUAUGCAGGCAAGUAGGGUCGAUGGGCUAAGUGACAUAGCACCGGGGGGUUGGCGAGUUGGUUGGCUGGGCUUAGGCGAUUUUUGCAAAAUAGAGGGAUAUGGUGUAUGUAGUCGAUUAAGGCCGAUGGGCUAGGCACCCUAGCACCAGGCGUGUGGGCGACUAGGUUGGUCGGCUUAUGCGGUUUUGCAAAAGAUAGAGGUGUGUGGUGUAUGCAGGCAAGUAGGGGCGAUGGGCUAAGAGACAUAGUACCGGGGGGUGGGCGAGUUGGUUGGCCGGGCUUAGGCGAUUUCUGCAAAAAAAAAAGGGAUGUGGUGUAUUCACGCGAGUAGGGUCGAUGGGCUAGGCGACAUAGCGCCCAGGGGUGGGCGAGUUGGUUGGAUGGGCUUAGGCAAUUUCUAUAAAAAAUAGAGGGGUGUGGUGUUGUGGACGAUUAUGGUCGAUGGGCUAGGCGACAUAGCACUGGGGGUGGGCAAGUUGGUUGGAUGGGCUUAGGCGAUUUCUGCAAGAAAAAUAGAGGGGUGUGGUGGUGUUGUAGGCGAUUAUGGUCGAUGGGCUAGGUGACAUAGCAUCGAGGGGUGGCGAGUUGGUUGGACCAGGUUAGGCGAUUUUGCAAAAAAGGUGUUGUGGUGCUUGUAGGCGAUUAUGAUCGAUGGGCUAGGCGGCAUAGCACCGGGGGUGGACGAGUUGGUUGGACGGGGUUAGACAGUUUUGCAAAAAAAGGUGUGUGGUGUAUGUAGGCGAUUUCGGUCGAUGGACUAUGCGACAUUGCGUCGGGAAUGGGUGAGUUGGUUGGACGGGCUUAGGCGGUUUUGCAACAAAGGUGUGUGGUGCUGUAGACGAUAAGGGUUGGUGGCUAGGUGUCGUAGCACCCGAGGGUGCGCUAGUUGGAUGGUCAGAUUAGGCGAUUUUGCAGGGUGUGUGCUGUUGUAGGCGAGAAAAGUCGGUGGGUUAGGCGACCUAGCAUAGGUUUCAGGCUCUUGUUUAGCCUAAAAAAUGUGUGAGAUUGCCUUAUUCUGCAUAGAACAGGUUCUGAAUAAAUUCCUUACCGAUCUAGUCUGUAGGUUUUUUUUUUUUUUGCCUGAUUCCCUACCUAAGUCAUGUAAUAAUGUUGUAAAGAAAUGAAGAAAACCAAAAAAAAUUGUGGUCAGUUCCUUGCCAUUGUAUUGAUCUGGGGAGUCCUCCAUCUUAAAAACUGCCAUGUCAGGGAUGGCGGGAAAGAUGUUCUUGCCUAGUUUUUACUAUUUCUCUAGCCUGCAGAGAAGCAAAAAGAAUGCAUUAUUUCAUGACUUCUACACUGAAUCACUUUCUCAUUUAUUUUCACAGGGAAAAAUCAAACAAAAGCACAUGAUAUAUACAUGAGUAAUCAACAUGUAUACAAGAUGCACCCUGCUAUCUGCUAUAAUUUGGCACCAGAGACUAUCCAGUGCUUGCUAUCUGCUCAAACAUUGUGCCAAAAAAUGCUAACAUUCCAGGGAGCAGUAAACAAUACUCUGAAGAAAAUACUAGUACGUUCAGAGCAAAAAUUUGAACUCAAAAAGCCUGCAUGUAGAUACGCAAAAAAACAGCAAACCUGCAUCCGCAAAAGAAAAUUCAGUUCCGAAAAAAGACUCCACUAAAACAUGUAUGUAUAUUUCUAGCAACGUUAUAUAUCCACUCUCCAAUACCACUUCCCCUGUCUUAUUUGUGCCGUGCGGGGAGAGCCAUGUUAAUAUCUCUGUGCCCGGCUGGCCACAACCUACUUAACAUCAACCGCGACAAAGAAACUUGCCCACUGUAAAUAGUCUCUGGUGCAUCAGCUUGAAAAAGGGAUCCACCGCGACAGAGAAACUUGCCCACUGUAAAUAGUCUCUGGUGCAUCAGCUCAAAAAAGGGAUCCACCACGACAGAGAAACUUGCCCGUUGUAAAUAGUCUCUGCUGCAUCAGCUCGAAAAAGGGAUCCACCGCAUCAGAGAGAGAUGCCCACUGUAAACUUGCCCCACGACCUACUGAACAUCAACAGCAAAACAGAGCCACAUUGCUCGGCUUGCCACUGAAUUGACCACUGUAAGUAGUAGCAUUGUCUACUUAACAUGAACCAUGAAUGAGAAACUUGCCUCCACCUGGAGGAAACCAAAUGCUACAAAAGUGCCCACUGUAAGUGGUAACAUUGCCUACUCAAAAGUGCUUGGGAUCAUCAGGGACGGGAUAGGGAAAACCUGAAAACACUACACUGUAAAUAUUGAAGUGAGAAAUAUUGCCUGUAAAACAAAACUGCUAUAGAUUUGCAGCAAAAUCUGCACAAAAUUGCUUGUAAAACUAAACUGCUACAGAUUCGCAGCAAAAUCUGCACAAAAUUGCCCACUAUAACCUGACAUUUGCUUACCUAUCGGUGGAAAACAGACCUGCAGCGUACAAAGCACCUAUCAUGAGAUCGGUUCCUUGCCUGCGAUGCACUACACAAAAAAUCGCUAUUGGUCCAAAACAAACCUGCAGCGUAGAAAACACCUGUCAUGGGAUCGGUUCCUUGCCUGCAAUGCACUACACAAAAAAUCACGUGAGAAAAUUUCUCUCUGCUUGCUACUAUUUGCUAUCAAAAUCGAAAAUUGAUUUUGGUUGGUAUUUUGCGCACGGGCUUCGCCGGGGCAUCGAUUCCUCGUCUCCUUACUCCUCUGUUGGCAACCCCGUCGUCCCCAUCCUUCCCCUCCCCCUGUCGUCCAUGUAGAUGACGCCGCCGUGUUUGUGAAACACCUCCCCUACCUCGCCCCUAGUUCUCGGAAAUUGGGGGAAAAUGGAGGAGCAGGGCGUGUAACUUACGUACUUUCUUCCCCACGGAGACGAAGCAUCUCGUCGCGCCCUCGUCGUCUUCGCGUCGCCGAUUUGUCCGCUUGUACCUUCUUCAUCCCAUUCACUGGCCGCGCAGUCACCCUCUCAAUCGGAACUGGGGGGUGCUUCGCCUCCACGCCCCGCUUGAUUCGUCACCGUCGUUUGAUCUCUCGCCGGCUGCGGUCGUCGACAACCAGGGAUUUCUCUCCCUUUGCUGCUGAAGAGGUGGGUGUGAGGAGAGGAGGGGGAUGCGUACGACAAAACGCCACCGCUAUCUCUUCCUCCGGUAUCGGAUCUGUCCACCACGUGGCAGGAUCGUGUCGCGUGACCGACG